UAUUUUGGAAAAUGGGGAAAACCCUGAUCCAUCCAUCCCGCGUGUAUGAUGAAGGCUUUCGGGUUGUAUCGUAUUUUUUGCAGCGAAGCAAAGGUAUCUCCUACUACGAGAUACUGUUGACGGUAUUUGCAGAAUAAGCACCGGCGAACUACGUGCCAGGAGCCGUGGUAAUACGUAGGGUGCAAGCGUUAAUCGGAAUUAUUGGGCGUAAAGCGUGUGUAGGCGGUUCGAAAAGAAAGAUGUAAAAUCCCAGGGCUCAACCUUGGAACUGCAUUUUUAACUGCCGAGCUAGAGUAUGUCAGAGGGGGGUAGAAUUCCACGUGUAGCAGUGAAAUGCGUAGAUAUGUAGAGGAGUACCGAUGGCGAAGGCAGCCCCCUGGGAUAAUACUGACGCUCAGACACGAAAGCGUGGGGAGCAAACA
rnacentral:rRNA from 1 species